rnacentral:snRNA from 1 species
CUAUCGAUCCUUUAGACCUU